GAUGAACGCUGGCGGCGUGCCUAAUACAUGCAAGUCGAGCGAACAGACGAGGAGCUUGCUCCUCUGACGUUAGCGGCGGACGGGUGAGUAACACGUGGAUAACCUACCUAUAAGACUGGGAUAACUUCGGGAAACCGGAGCUAAUACCGGAGAAUAUAUUGAACCGCAUGGUUCAAUAGUGAAAGACGGUUUUGCUGUCACUUAUAGAUGGAUCCGCGCCGCAUUAGCUAGUUGGUAAGGUAACGGCUUACCAAGGCAACGAGGCGUAGCCGACCUGAGAGGGUGAUCGGCCACACUGGAACUGAGACACGGUCCAGACUCCUACGGGAGGCAGCAGUAGGGAAUCUUCCGCAAUGGGCGAAAGCCUGACGGAGCAACGCCGCGUGAGUGAUGAAGGUCUUCGGAUCGUAAAACUCUGUUAUUAGGGAAGAACAAAUGUGUAAGUAACUAUGCACGUCUUGACGGUACCUAAUCAGAAAGCCACGGCUAACUACGUG
rnacentral:rRNA from 1 species